AGUGUGCGGGCNUGCCUACACAUGCAAGUCGAACGAGGUAGCAAUACCUAGUGGCAGACGGGUGAGUAACACGUCCCUUCCUCGUCCCUACAGUGGGGGAUAACUAGCCGAAAGGUUACCUUAUACCGCAUAACAUCUACGAGUGGCAUCAUUUGUAGAUCAAAGGAGCAAUCCGCUGAAGGACGGGACCGCGUCCCAUUAGUUAGUUGGUGGGGUAAUGGCCUACCAAGACUCCGAUGGGUAGCUGGUUUGAGAGAGCGACCAGCCACACUGGGACUGAGAAACGGCCCAGACUCCUACGGGAGGCAGCAGUGAGGAAUUUUCCGCAAUGGGCGAAAGCCUGACGGAGCGACGCCGCGUGUGGGAAGAAGGCCUUCGGGUCGUAAACCACUGUCGAAGGGGAAGAUAAUGACGGUACCCUUGGAGGAAGCCCCGGCUAACUACGUGCCAGCGGCCGCGGUAAGACGUAGGGGGCGAGCGUUAUUCGGAAUUAUUGGGCGUAAAGCGCUCGUAGGCGGGACCGAAAGUCGGUGAGGAAAG
rnacentral:rRNA from 1 species